UAUGAGGAUGGAAAGUUUGAGUCAGCCAAAUUUUUGCGCCCAGCUUCAUCAUUUUAUCACGCUGCUGAAGACUGUCAAUUUAUUGUAGAUUCAGAGAAUCAUGCUGUCUGAAAAGCAGAUUUGGGAAGAAGGACUUUACAAACAGUUUAUCCAGUCUUCAAUAAAAGCAAUGGCAUCUGGAGCUGGAUUACCGAUAAGCUUGGUAUGAGAAAAGAAGCUACUCCAACUAUUCAAGAUUUUCAUGCAGACUCCAUGCCACUUCCAUGGCAUUUGAUACAAAUUUCAGAGGACAUCUUAUUAGGUAGGCAUCUUAUAGUCGUAGUGAACGGGCAUAAGCCAAGCUAGGAACAAACAAAUAGUUUUAGAUAUUAGUUGAAAAUAGAAUGGUAUGUAAAUUUCUGAAUUGUCCAUCAUUAUCGAGUCCCCUUGAAUUAUUCAAGGAAAUGCAUGUCGAAGAAGCAGGUUCCGGUGCUUUUAUUGUUUCCCUAGAUUGAUAGGUUACUCAUACUAGGCCCAAAAUAAUAUUCGAUUUUAUUGUGUUGAUCUCAGGACUAGCACUUCUUAAUACCCUUGAAUUUCUACAUAUUUUUAUAGAA